AGCGCGAGAUUCCGCUUCGCCAGACGCAUUUGUCUCCCGCUCGAAGGACGCCGCAGCCGGUCGGGCAGUGCAAGCGCGACGGCCUGAGGGGCGGACGACGGCAGGUGGCCGGUGGCGCGCUUCGUGCGCGUCGCCGGUUGUUAGCCAGUCCGCCAGUGGCUCGUCGCUCGACCGAGUUACACGUCUCCUCCUUUAAACGAGGAAGUCGGGACGGACCGUCGCAAGCGAAGGCCGCCGUCCCGCCGCACUCCCUCGGAGUGGGCGGGCGAACGGUCGGCGCCGAUGGCGACGGCGGACCCGCGGGAGGCCGGAGGCUGGCGGCGAGUAGGUCGGUCACCCACCCGACCCGUCUUGAAACACGGACCAAGGAGUCUAACAUGUGCGCGAGUCAAUGGGUCUUGAACAGGCCCAGGGGCGCAAUGAAAGCAAAGGUCGGCUCCCGUCGACCGAGUUGGGAUCCCGCCCCCCGUUCCGGGUGCGGGCGCACCAACGACCCGUCCUGUGCGGCUCGCCGCUUGGGCGGAGUGCGAGCGUACACGUUGGGACCCGAAAGAUGGUGAACUAUGCCCGGACAGGACGAGGCCAGANGAAACUCUGGUGGAGGUCCGCAGCGGUUCU
rnacentral:rRNA from 1 species